rnacentral:lncRNA from 1 species
GCUAGUGUAAGGAACUUGCUAUGAUACACUGCCGGUGUAAGGAAUUUGCAGUGAUACACUGAAUCUCCACCGGCAGAACAAAGAAGGGCCAAUCUGCGGAGAUCAUACAGCCUGAGACAUAAAAAUGGAAGGAACUCGUUAGGGCGGAAACAUUAAUCCAAAAAAAACUUCAUCUGCACUGACCAUGCAAGACGUAAACUGAAACAGCCAGACUGUUUCAACAUUCUAGAGAAUCAGAAAAAGCUCUAAGAUUAUGACACUAAACAAACGACGGCCAAUAGAUUCUCACCACCCUUGCAAACAAUUGGACAAAUACUUUGUCUCCAUUGAUUGAUCACAUUUUGCUGCCCUCUCAUCUAUCAAAUUGAAAAUUCCAAAAGUCACAAUCAAGAAAAAACAGUAUCCAUUUGGGAACUUGAAUCCAGAACCGGGGAAACAGAGGAAGGAGUCAUCACACCAGAGAUUCGUCAUGGAAUGGCUCUUUCUACCGUCGCCUGUCGUUCUACACAAACUCAUGGACCGUGAAUUAACUACUGAACCAACUUCAAAAGUCUAGAAAUUAAGGGAGGAGGGAGGAGGAAGACCACACCGUCAAGAAGGUUGCUGC